AGAGUUUGAUCCUGGCUCAGAUUGAACGCUGGCGGCAGGCCUAACACAUGCAAGUCGAGCGGUAGCACAGAGAGCUUGCUCUCGGGUGACGAGCGGCGGACGGGUGAGUAAUGUCUGGGAAACUGCCUGAUGGAGGGGGAUAACUACUGGAAACGGUAGCUAAUACCGCAUAACGUCGCAAGACCAAAGUGGGGGACCUUCGGGCCUCAUGCCAUCAGAUGUGCCCAGAUGGGAUUAGCUGGUAGGUGGGGUAACGGCUCACCUAGGCGACGAUCCCUAGCUGGUCUGAGAGGAUGACCAGCCACACUGGAACUGAGACACGGUCCAGACUCCUACGGGAGGCAGCAGUGGGGAAUAUUGCACAAUGGGCGCAAGCCUGAUGCAGCCAUGCCGCGUGUGUGAAGAAGGCCUUCGGGUUGUAAAGCACUUUCAGCGGGGAGGAAGGCGGUGAGGUUAAUAACCUCAUCGAUUGACGUUACCCGCAGAAGAAGCACCGGCUAACUCCGUGCCAGCAGCCGCGGUAAUACGGAGGGUGCAAGCGUUAAUCGGAAUUACUGGGCGUAAAGCGCACGCAGGCGGUCUGUCAAGUCGGAUGUGAAAUCCCCGGGCUCAACCUGGGAACUGCAUUCGAAACUGGCAGGCUAGAGUCUUGUAGAGGGGGGUAGAAUUCCAGGUGUAGCGGUGAAAUGCGUAGAGAUCUGGAGGAAUACCGGUGGCGAAGGCGGCCCCCUGGACAAAGACUGACGCUCAGGUGCGAAAGCGUGGGGAGCAAACAGGAUUAGAUACCCUGGUAGUCCACGCUGUAAACGAUGUCGAUUUGGAGGUUGUGCCCUUGAGGCGUGGCUUCCGGAGCUAACGCGUUAAAUCGACCGCCUGGGGAGUACGGCCGCAAGGUUAAAACUCAAAUGAAUUGACGGGGGCCCGCACAAGCGGUGGAGCAUGUGGUUUAAUUCGAUGCAACGCGAAGAACCUUACCUGGUCUUGACAUCCACAGAACUUUCCAGAGAUGGAUUGGUGCCUUCGGGAACUGUGAGACAGGUGCUGCAUGGCUGUCGUCAGCUCGUGUUGUGAAAUGUUGGGUUAAGUCCCGCAACGAGCGCAACCCUUAUCCUUUGUUGCCAGCGGUCCGGCCGGGAACUCAAAGGAGACUGCCAGUGAUAAACUGGAGGAAGGUGGGGAUGACGUCAAGUCAUCAUGGCCCUUACGACCAGGGCUACACACGUGCUACGAUGGCAUAUACAAAGAGAAGCGACCUCGCGAGAGCAAGCGGACCUCAUAAAGUAUGUCGUAGUCCGGAUUGGAGUCUGCAACUCGACUCCAUGAAGUUGGAAUCGCUAGUAAUCGUAGAUCAGAAUGCUACGGUGAAUACGUACCCGGGCCUUGCACACACCGCCCGUCA
rnacentral:rRNA from 1 species